AAGAAAAGAGCCUGUGAGAUUAGCCAAGGAGACUGCCUGGAUUCCAAACAUGAAUAUAAAUUUUAGACAGACAAUUAAAUAAUGCCAUAUAUUCUUUCAUGAAAUCGGAGGCGGGCAAGUCAUCCUUGGCUACCAAACAACGCUCUUUUCUUCAUGUAAGGCCUCCAGCUUCCUGCGCAUAGCUACUACAUCAAAUUCGAUAUCCCAUCAACGUCGACCUUGCGAUCUGUCACGUACAAUGCACAAUGCUGAAGCUGAAUAAGAAGAAAGAAGGGUAUAGCAUGAGAAGAAGAGGCUGUCAAGUUAGCCAAAGGAGACCUGCCUGGUGCCUGCUGCUGGGAAACCCAACAACGUAGGACUCCUCUUGGAUUGGAUUGGAUUAGAAUUAGGAGAGGCAGCAGGCAAGUCAUCCUUGGCUACCAAACAACGCUCUUCUCU
rnacentral:sRNA from 1 species